rnacentral:rRNA from 1 species
AUUGAACGCUGGCGGCAGGCCUAACACAUGCAAGUCGAACGAGUGGCGGACGGGUGAGUAAUGUCUGGGAAACUGCCCGAUGGAGGGGGAUAACUACUGGAAACGGUAGCUAAUACCGCAUACCAUCGGAUGUGCCCAGAUGGGAUUAGCUGGUAGGUGGGGUAACGGCUCACCUAGGCGACGAUCCCUAGCUGGUCUGAGAGGAUGACCUGCCCCACUGGAAUGGGGACACGGUCCAGACUCCUACGGGGGGAGGCAGGGGGGAAUAUUGCACCAUGGGCGCAAGCCGGAUGCAGCCAUGCCGCGUGUGUGAAGAAGGCCUUCGGGUUGGAAAGUACUUUCAGCUAGGAGGCGUUACUCGCAGAAGAAGCACCGGCUAACUCCGUGCCAGCAGCCGCGGUAAUUC